GACGAACGCUGGCGGCGUGCUUAACACAUGCAAGUCGAACGGAAAGGCCCAGCUUGCUGGGUACUCGAGUGGCGAACGGGUGAGUAACACGUGGGUGAUCUGCCCCUGACUCUGGGAUAAGCCUGGGAAACUGGGUCUAAUACCGGAUAUGACCAUUCCCUGCCUGGGGUUUGGUGGAAAGCUUUUGCGGUUGGGGAUGGGCCCGCGGCCUAUCAGCUUGUUGGUGGGGUAAUGGCCCACCAAGGCGACGACGGGUAGCCGACCUGAGAGGGUGAUCGGCCACACUGGGACUGAGACACGGCCCAGACGCCUACGGGAGGCAGCAGUGGGGAAUAUUGCACAAUGGGGGCAAGCCUGAUGCAGCGACGCCGCGUGAGGGAUGACGGCCUUCGGGUUGUAAACCUCUUUCGCCAGGGACGAAGCGCAAGUGACGGUACCUGGAGAAGAAGCACCGGCCAACUACGUGCCAGCAGCCGCCGUAAGAC
rnacentral:rRNA from 1 species